rnacentral:misc_RNA from 1 species
GAACGCACAUUGCGCCCCUUGGUAUUCCGGGGGGCAUGCCUGUUCGAGCGUCAUUUCAACCCUCAAGCUUAGCUUGGUAUUGAGUCUAUGUCAGUAAUGGCAGGCUCUAAAAUCAGUGGCGGCGCCGCUGGGUCCUGAACGUAGUAAUAUCUCUCGUUACAGGUUCUCGGUGUGCUUCUGCCAAAACCCAAAUUUUUCUAUGGUUGACCUCGGAUCAGGUAGGGAUACCCGCUGAACUUAAG